CCUACGGGUGGCAGCAGUGAGGAAUAUUGGUCAAUGGACGCAAGUCUGAACCAGCCAUGCCGCGUGCAGGAAGACGGCUCUAUGAGUUGUAAACUGCUUUUGUACGAUGGUAAACUCAGAUACGCGUAUCUGUCUGAAAGUAUCGUACGAAUAAGGAUCGGCUAACUCCGUGCCAGCAGCCGCGGUAAUACGGAGGAUUCAAGCGUUAUCCGGAUUUAUUGGGUUUAAAGGGUGCGUAGGCGGUCGGAUAAGUUAGAGGUGAAAUCCCGAGGCUCAACUUCGGAAUUGCCUCUGAUACUGUUAGGCUAGAGAGUAGUUGCGGUAGGCGGAAUGUAUGGUGUAGCGGUGAAAUGCUUAGAGAUCAUACAGAACACCGAUUGCGAAGGCAGCUUACCAAGCUACGUCUGACGUUGAGGCACGAAAGCGUGGGGAGCAAACAGGAUUAGAUGCCCGGGUAGUC
rnacentral:rRNA from 1 species